UUAAGAGUCUGACUAAGCAAAGAGAACCUGCAUGUGCACAGGAAGUGGAAAGUGAAUGCCCAAUGAAGAAGUGAGCUUCGAGUGUGUGCUCAAAUCAACAAGAUUUCAGGGGACUUGGGGGAGAGCUUGCGCCAGAGCAAGUCAUAGAACACAGGGGCCUCGUCCACCAUCCUGGGAAUUUGUUCUGUGUGUAGCAGUCUACACUUCUACCUUCCAGCUAGAGUAACAGUUGGUGGAGCCCUCAUCAGCCUGAAUGGGUGGGGCUCCGAGCCAUCUCUAAGGAGGGGUUAAACUGGAUUAAGUCACAAUGUGCAUCCCUCCCAAACGUGCAAGUUAUUAGCAACCUGAUGGAGGGUUAAGAGAAACGUUGAGGGAACACCCAAUGUUUCAAAACAGGGAGCCUAAGGGAUGGCCAGCGGAAAGAAGGCAGAAGGACGGAAGAAUCUAUGAGGUGUGACUUCAAAAUAGAUACCAUGUUUCUUAUCUGAGUUGUGUUAGGCUCUCCUGCCCUGGUGCUACCUUUUAGGUUUGUUUUCUUCCCCAUCUCCCGUGUCUUCAAACCAACGUUCAAUGAAUUUGUCAGCACACUGUGGAGGCCAGAACAACAGUCACAGCCCCCAAAAUGAUCAACAGAGCAGAUUCCAGUGAUCGAUCGAUCAGCAUUCUGUAGCCCAAAGUGGGGAGAAUGAUAGAAGGCAUGUCUUUCUGUAUUCUAUCAGGGCCUUGGGCACUACGUCUUGAUGAUUAAGCCAGAGGAUUGCUUCUCAGCUCUAAGCAUUCUCCUAGAGGCCUUCUCCCCUGGCACACGUCAAAGGUGGGACCUGAGAGAGGGAAGUGAGCCAGAACAAGUAUCUCAUCCAAUGACCUUACCCCCAGAAGACAGACAGGGAAGGGAGCUAGAAUAAGAGAACCUGAACACUGAGCAUGAAAGGAAACAACUCAAACAAAAGAGGGGUCAUUUGUGGACUCUCAAAAGCUAGUGUUAAAAAAACAGACUUGACCUAUGUGUCGGAGUUCUGGGUUGAGGCUCUCUCCUAGAACUGUUAAUCCCAUGCUCCUACCCCAAUUCUGAGUGAGUGCCUUAUACGCAGAUAAUCAAAGUGGAUUUUUGUCUAAUUAAUCACAAACCGUUUUAGGUCUUCUUAGGGUCUUCUUCCCUUUUCUUCAUCUUUUCUUCUCUCUCCCCUGAUUCCUUCCUUUAGCCCCUACACAUUUAUUGAGCAGUUACUAUAUGCUAGACACUAUGCUGUCUAGAGAUUUAGGAUGAAAGGAAUUUAAAGAUGAAUGAAUCACAGCUCCUUAUGUCAAAGAGUUUACAGUUGAGAUGCAGCCAUGUGUGUGCGUUGGGGUGAGGAAGAGACAGACACAUGGUCUUUAUCUGCGAUGGUGUGACAGGACCUGUAUUAGGACAAUGCCAGGUAUGGUGGUGGAACAAAAGAGAGCUGUCAAUUACUCAUUGGGAGUGCUGGUCAGAGAUCUCUUCCAGGAAAGGUAACCCCUGAGCUAAGUCUUAAAACGUGACCUGGGCAGACUUUCUAAAAGCAGAAAUGGAGCAGGAGGUAGUGCAGAUACACAAGCAACAGGCAGAGAGGAGAGUGGGAUCUGCCGUCCAGAACAUAGCUUCACGAAGGGCAGAGUCAGCAACAGAGCUAGAAAGGUAGGUGGAGGUCAGACCAAGGGGAGCCAGGGUCCCAGGUCUGAGCUUAAUUCCACAGGCUGUGGACCACACAAGGAUUUCUAGGCAGAAGAACAAGAUUAGACCCGUGUUUCAGCCAAGUUAUUCUGGCCACAGGGUGUAGGAUGGGUUGAUGGGAAGAGAGACAACCUCUUCCAUGUGAGAGCUCAUUGCAAGAGCCCAAAAAGGAACAAGCAUCAAAACUAGGCUACAGGGUAGCAGAAAUGGGAAGCAAACAGCAAGUGGGAGGGACGCUGCAGGGAAACACAAGGUAGAAUUUGCAUGACCUGACUGAGCAAGCAGAGGAAUCAACUAGAAUUCAGACUGAGCUAUUCCAGAGUAUGGUUAUGCAUUCAGGCAAAAUCUAGAGAUGAUGGGGAACUUGGAAAUCCCUCUUUUUGCUUUGGCAAACCAUUAUGUAAUAAAAGAGACAGUCUGACACAGUAGCCUUCAGUGAACGUCAGCUACUAUUACUAUUAUUAUCAGCAUCAGUUGGAAGAUGCACACUGAACAAUGUCAGGACCUUAACCUCAACUGGCAUCUGGGAAGAAGUAGCAUUAGGAAAGGCCUUUUCUCAAAAUGCUGUGUGUUCUUGGUGCAUUCAUCACACUCGCUUGGCUUACAAUCGCUUCAUAUUUCAUAUUUUCAAAAAAUAGUAGAAGUCAUUCAACUCCCCAGUGGCUUCUCACCGAUAUAGGUGAAAUCUGUUUUUACGGUGGCCUCGUAAGCCCUGUAAGGUUCUGUCCCAACUCCCUGUCUAAUACCCUCUCGAUUUUCCCAUGGCUUCCUUCACUGCAGCCACAGACUGCUUUGCUGUUCUUUACACACAGCCGACACGUGCCCACCUUAGGGUCUAUGCACUUGGUAUUCCCUCUGCCUGGAAUCCUCUUUGCUUCCUCACUUCCUUCCAUUGUUUGCUUCAAUUCCAUUUCCUCAAAUAGGGCCUUUGUCGACCUUCAAUCAGUCCCUAUUCCCUUAUCCUGCAUUAUUUUCCUUCAUUGGACUCGUUGUCUAGUAAUAUGUCCAGACCUCUUAUUAUAUACAAGAUUGUUUAUUUCUUCAUGGUCUGCAUUCCUUGCUUUGUUAUACGCUUUGUUCUGUUUAAGGUGUUACUGGGCCUAAAACUGAGCUUGGUACUCCACAAGAGUACAGACUUUUCAUAGAUAUUCAUUGAAUAAAUGAAGCAAUUCCUCUUGUAAAUACUCUUUUGUCUUGGUUUCCCUGGUUUUCUCCUUACUUCUUCAGACAUUCCUUUUUAGUACACCUUUGCUAGGUUUUUCUUUUCUAACUGAUUUCUGAAUGCUGGUGUUAUUCAGGACUCCAUCCUGGAAUCGUUUUUUCCUCUCUUCCAGCCUAGGUGAUCUAAUCCAUUUCUGUGAAUAUAAAUACCAUCUUUAAAUCUAAAUUGCUUCCAAAUUUUGUCUCUGUCCCAGAACCCCAGAUGCAGACAGCCAAAUGCCUACUUGACUUCUCCACUUGAAUGGAUAAGAGGCAUUUCAAAAUUAACAUCUCCAUAACUGAAAUCUUGAUCCCCCUGCCGUGCAAUACCCCAACCCAAACCUAACACCCUCUAGAAUUUCUGGAAGGGAAGGUCAAUCUGGUUGGAAAGAGGGGAAACCUGUCCCAUUUACAAAGGACUUUAUUUAAGUAAGGUUUUUAAAAAAUCAGUUGUAUCAAAGAAGGAGAGGACAAGUAAUAGAAAUUAUGAGGAGCAUCAAACCCUCUUUGGCACUAGCACUGUCCUCCCUCCCCCAAUUCUUGCUGUCUUAGAAAAAGACACCACCUGCCACGGGGUUACUCAAGCCAAAACCCUAGGGUUCCUCCCUUUCUCUCGCGUUGUCGACAUCCGAUCCGUCAGUUAGCUCUUUUUUCCCCAAAGUGCAAUUUGAAGCCAUCCUCCUCCCCCUUCACUUCUCCUGUCUCUUUUCUGUUCUAGAUCACCAUCAUCUCUCACAUGGACUUCUUAAGGGACCUCUUAACUAGUAUCCCCAUGCCCAUUCUUGCUGCUUUGAACCUAUUCGCCAAAUGGCAACAAGACUGAUCUUUUUUAGCUGUCAACCAUAUCAUGACACUUUUCAAAAAGAUCUUUCAACGAUCACCCACACACUUAGUAGUGCUUAGACCCUUGACCCUGCCAUGCCCAAAUCCCUGCUGAUCCACUUCAUCCUCGGCAUGCACCUCACCUUCUCCACCUGAGUGGACAUACUGCUGCAACAUCAGCCAGUCUUCUGUCUAUUCUGAUGACCCACCAAACUAUUUAUUGUCUGAGACCAUUACAUAUGCUGUUCCCUCUGUCUAGAAUGCCCUCCUUUUGAUUCUUCACAUGACUAGCUCUAUUCCUUAGCAUCCUUCUUCAUUUUAAAUGGCAUC